UGCCACAAAGCCAGGACCAGCUCGGGG
rnacentral:piRNA from 1 species